rnacentral:lncRNA from 10 species
CAGGCAUAUUAGCUUUAAUGUAGGUGGCGAUGAGUUUUUAGGCCAAGGAAGGAAUAAUGUUUUAUGUACCAAAGCCUUUUGUCCCCAUUUUCCAUCAUACGAAUAGUAUUCCCUGUUGCUAAGCCGAUGAUACAUUACCCUUUUCCCAUAGGUGUGAGUGGCGGUCUGAAUGGAGAAGUUCAAUAGUUCUGAUUGCAGAUCCUAUGCAGAAGAGAUAAUAAGGAAAAUAAUCUUUGUCUCCUGGAUUAAGCUGAGGCUGGCAAAGAGUGAAAUGUCCCAAGCCCUCUAACAACAAACAACAUACUUUGUGUUGUCCUGGAUGCUGGUCUGGUUGCCAAAUAUGUGGAACUGGCCCCAUAUGCGUGUACUGUUGUCCAUUUCAUGAGAGUAGGCUUGAGGACACCAUGGGCAAGGAUCUGAUGGUUGCCAGCCUAAGCGUUUUAGACUUUUGACCCAGAGAUUUUUUGUUUUGGGUGUGGAAAAAAUUUUAGAGGAUAGGGUCUCAAGAUAUAAUCCUUUUUAUAGGCGGCAGGUCUUAAGAGAUGAGGGUCCAGAGGAACGGAUGAAGCCUGCUUGGAAGCAUGCUGGGAUGGCCAUUUGGAAGGAGUGUUGCAAGGAAGCAUGGCCUUGGCUGGGCGCUGCCAGGAGCUUAAGGGUUGUAGGUUGUUUGUCUGAUCGGCUCUCGGCCUAAUCUUGUGGCUUCCAGGAGGAAGAGGAGAGAUCAAGCUGGCUGUCUGAUGGGCAUGGCUUUAUUCUGGAAUGGUGAACCCAAUGGAGAGGGUCCUGCAGAUGGACGGCAGUUGGUGUGCUAUAAAUGACCGGGUAGGGUCUGGUCCAUUGAGGCUGUAGAGUUUGAGGGGUCAGACUUUUGACAAGGACUGAUCGUCCAGCUAGGGUGUCUUCAUAUGGCUGGGAAUCUGGAGUAGGCAAGAGAAGAUUAGCAGCUUGGCAAAUUUCCUGUCUAGCCUGCUAGAGGACUGGAAGAUAGUUGCCCAGGGGGCUGGUGUCUGGAACAAGAUUGUGGCUGAGUAAGAAGGUGCAUCCAUAUAAAAUUGAAAUGGGUUGUAGGAUGGAGAAAUCAAAAGUGCCGUUUUCUGGCCACUUGGAACCAUUGUCAAGUUUAUAUUGCGGCCAAGCAGUAUUGCAGAAGAAAAUAAGACGUUUGAGUUUUAUAUCAGGUGUUAGUUUAAGAGAAGUUUUUAAGUACACAGGCUAAGGGGGAAGAGGGAGGAAUGGAGGGCGGAAGAUUGCCCAAAGUGAAGGAGGUAAGUUUAAAGAGAGAAGUAGAGACACGGAGAAGGGCGGGGGUGAGCAGCCAAAGCAGGCGUCCCCGCAAAUGACUUGCCACCAUGGGAAUGUGGGUGAAUGACCAAGGCAGGCAUCCCCAAGGUGAUCAGACACCAGUGGAAUGUGGGUGAAUAAUUAGGCAGGCGUCCCCGCAGUGAUUAGACACCAAGGGAAGACUGUCUUCCUGAGUCUGUGACCAGCGCCAGAGUUUUGGGUCCACGGAUAAAAUGUGUCUCCUUUGUCUCUACUAGAGAAGAAAAAGACUGGACAGGGAGAUUGGAGGGUAGCGACAGAGGCUGGAG